GGUCUCGUAGCUCAGUCGGUAGAGCGUUGUGCUGAUAACGCAAAGGUCUAGGGUUCGAGUCCCUGCGGGACCA
rfam:Tritrichomonas foetus strain K scaffold_99, whole genome shotgun sequence.